rnacentral:rRNA from 1 species
UGCAAGUCGAGCGGACAGAUGGGAGCUUGCUCCCUGAUGUUAGCGGCGGACGGGUGAGUAACACGUGGGUAACCUGCCUGUAAGACUGGGAUAACUCCGGGAAACCGGGGCUAAUACCGGAUGGUUGUUUGAACCGCAUGGUUCAGACAUAAAAGGUGGCUUCGGCUACCACUUACAGAUGGACCCGCGGCGCAUUAGCUAGUUGGUGAGGUAACGGCUCACCAAGGCGACGAUGCGUAGCCGACCUGAGAGGGUGAUCGGCCACACUGGGACUGAGACACGGCCCAGACUCCUACGGGAGGCAGCAGUAGGGAAUCUUCCGCAAUGGACGAAAGUCUGACGGAGCAACGCCGCGUGAGUGAUGAAGGUUUUCGGAUCGUAAAGCUCUGUUGUUAGGGAAGAACAAGUGCCGUUCAAAUAGGGCGGCACCUUGACGGUACCUAACCAGAAAGCCACGGCUAACUACGUGCCAGCAGCCGCGGUAAUACGUAGGUGGCAAGCGUUGUCCGGAAUUAUUGGGCGUAAAGGGCUCGCAGGCGGUUUCUUAAGUCUGAUGUGAAAGCCCCCGGCUCAACCGGGGAGGGUCAUUGGAAACUGGGGAACUUGAGUGCAGAAGAGGAGAGUGGAAUUCCACGUGUAGCGGUGAAAUGCGUAGAGAUGUGGAGGAACACCAGUGGCGAAGGCGACUCUCUGGUCUGUAACUGACGCUGAGGAGCGAAAGCGUGGGGAGCGAACAGGAUUAGAUACCCUGGUAGUCCACGCCGUAAACGAUGAGUGCUAAGUGUUAGGGGGUUUCCGCCCCUUAGUGCUGCAGCUAACGCAUUAAGCACUCCGCCUGGGGAGUACGGUCGCAAGACUGAAACUCAAAGGAAUUGACGGGGGCCCGCACAAGC